rnacentral:rRNA from 1 species
GACGAACGCUGGCGGCGUGCCUAAUACAUGCAAGUCGAACGCAGUGGGGACGGGUGAGUAACACGUGGGUAACCUCCCAUCAGAGGGGAUAACACUUGGGAACAGGUGCUAAACCGAUACUGAUGGAUGGAGCCGCGGUGCAUUAGGUAGUUGGUGGGGUAACGGCUCACCAAGGCCACGAUGCAUAGCCGACCGGGGAGGGUGAUCGGCAACUCUGGGAUUGAGACACGGCCCAGACUCCUACGGGAGGCAGCAGUAGGGAAUCUUCGGCAAUGGAGGAAAGUCUGACCGGGAAACGCCGCGGGAGUGAAACAGGCUUUCGGAUCGUAAGCCUCUGUUGUUAGGAAAGCGGUAUCUAACCAGAAAGCCACGGCUAACUACGUGCCAGCAGCCGCGGUAAUAC